UAAAUUUUAAAUUCGAUAUUUUAUAUCUUUCAAAUUUAAAUUUGGUCCGAAAUUUAAAAUUAGAUAUGUAAAAUUAAAAUUUUAAAAAUUAAAUUUUAAAUUUAAUUUCAAAAUUUAAAAUUUAAAAGUUCAAUUUUUCAAUUUAAAAUUUUCAGUUUAAAAAUUUAAAUUCAAUUAUAGAGUAAUAUUAUUAUUUUCUAUUUAUAACUAUCAACUAUUCCACCUUAUACUCACAUUUUCAUCCAAACAUAAUUUUUCUAGUUCCAUCUUAUACUCACAUUUUCAUCCAAAAAAAAAAAAAUUCUUGUUCCUACGAAAAUUCAUACUUGUAUGUAUCCCCGGUAUAACUAGUUCUUGCUUAUACCUGAACCAAACGAAGCCGAAUCGUGUUUCGAACUCUUCAAGACUUCUAUUCCAUCCAUCAUAAAAUAUGCCAAUACUAACAUCUAUAACACU
rnacentral:lncRNA from 1 species